GAUGAAGAACGUAGCGAAAUGCGAUAAGUAAUGUGAAUUGCAGAAUUCAGUGAAUCAUCGAAUCUUUGAACGCACCUUGCACUCCUUGGUAUUCCGAGGAGUACGCCUGUUCGAGUGUUAUGAAGCUCUCAAAAUGCAAUUGGCUUAAAACCUGAUUGUUGUUUUGGAUUUGAACUUUGCCGUGUUAUAACGGCUGGUUUUAAAAGUAUUAGCUGGUACUAGAACGAAUUGGUUCUACUCAACGUGAUAAUUAACUGAUCGUUGAGGACAUUCCUUUCACGAGGAAUGGCCAUAGUAAAUUCAAUGGACUGCUUCUAAUCUGGCUUUAAUUCUUUAUUGGAUUAACCACUUUUCAAAUCUGACCUCGAAUCAGGUGGGACUACCCGCUGAACUUAAGCAUAUCAAUAAGCGGAGGA
rnacentral:misc_RNA from 1 species